ACAGCACUACCCCACCUCCAUGGGACCCUGUCCUCCAACCACACCUUUCCCGUAGCAAUACUCAAUGUUUGAGACAAAUCGUGCUUAGGUCUGAUGUGCUGCAGUUGGAUAUCAGUUGAGUUGAGUUCAACGACACUGCAGAUCUGAGUAAUGCUUCAAAGUGCUCUACAAGAUGCUGUUGGUUCCUCCUGAGUCCGCACGAGACCGUAGAAAGUGUUCCUCCCUGAGUAUCAGAACAUGAUAUGAAGUUUCUUCAGUGAAGAUCCACCAUGACUGCAUGAGAAAAAUGAAUUACCUGCUGAGCCAUUUGUCACACAAGGGCUCAAUUGGAAGGAAAAUUCUGAUUCCGUGGUCUUUCUUUUAAAUCCAUUCUCUGUUUUUCUUUUGGUUUUCUUUCCUUUUUUUGUGCAGUGUCUUAUAAUGUGGACUUUAAAA